UCCGUCGUAGCUCAAAUGGCAGAGCAUCGGACGUGAAAUUCGACGGUCGUGGGUUCGGAUCCCAUCGACGGAA